UAUGUUUUAGUAUAUGAGGUACAUAAGUUUUUGAUACUUAAAGAGGUAGUUAAAUUCUACUAAAUAUAA
rnacentral:tRNA from 1 species